AACGAACGCUGGCGGCAUGCCUAACACAUGCAAGUCGAACGAGACCUUCGGGUCUAGUGGCGCACGGGUGCGUAACGCGUGGGAACCUGCCUUUAGGUUCGGAAUAACUCAGAGAAAUUUGAGCUAAUACCGGAUGAUGUCUUCGGACCAAAGAUUUAUCGCCUUUGGAUGGGCCCGCGUUGGAUUCGCUAGUUGGUGGGGUAAAGGCCUACCAAGGCGACGAUCCAUAGCUGGUCUGAGAGGAUGAUCAGCCACACUGGGACUGAGACACGGCCCAGACUCCUACGGGAGGCAGCAGUGGGGAAUAUUGGACAAUGGGCGAAAGCCUGAUCCAGCAAUGCCGCGUGAGUGAUGAAGGACUUAGGGUUGUAAAGCUCUUUUACCCGAGAUGAUAAUGACAGUAUCGGGAGAAUAAGCUCCGGCUAACUCCGUG
rnacentral:rRNA from 1 species